rnacentral:tRNA from 1 species
GGAAGCGUAGCCUCAAUGGUAAGGCCCCCGAUUUGAAAUCGGAGUGAGCAGUUCGCUGCUGUCCGGGUUCGAGUCUCCGGCGCUUCCGCCA